UACGGGGGAGCAAGCGUUGUUCGGAUUUACUGGGCGUAAAGGGCGCGUAGGCGGCGCAACAAGUCACUUGUGAAAUCUCCGGGCUUAACCCGGAGCGGUCAAGUGAUACUGUCGUGCUAGAGUGCGGAAGGGGCUACUGGAAUUCUCGGUGUAGCGGUGAAAUGCGUAGAUAUCGAGAGGGAAACACCCUGGCGGCGAAGGCGGGUAGCUGGGCCGACACUGACGCUGGAUGCGGCGAAAGCCAGGGGAGCGAACGGG
rnacentral:rRNA from 1 species